rfam:Gossypium hirsutum cultivar TM-1 chromosome 6, whole genome shotgun sequence
AAUAGUUUUAUGUCAUAUCAGUAUUCUUAUCCUGAAUUUUAGGAUUUUAUUCUGAAAAAAUCAAAUUCAAAUUAAAAUACUGAAAUUCAAGAUAAAAUCCUGAAAUUCAGGAUAAGAAUACUGAUGUGGCAUAAAACUAUU